CUAAGCAUAUCAAUAAGCGGAGGAAAAGAAACCAACCGGGAUUGCCUCAGUAACGGCGAGUGAAGCGGCAAGAGCUCAAAUUUGAAAGCUGGCUCCUUCGGAGUCCGCAUUGUAAUUUGCAGAGGAUGCUUUGGGUGCGGCCCCCGUCUAAGUGCCCUGGAACGGGCCGUCAGAGAGGGUGAGAAUCCCGUCUUGGGCGGGGUGUCCGUGCCCGUGUAAAGCUCCUUCGACGAGUCGAGUUGUUUGGGAAUGCAGCUCUAAAUGGGUGGUAAAUUUCAUCUAAAGCUAAAUACUGGCCGGAGACCGAUAGCGCACAAGUAGAGUGAUCGAAAGAUGAAAAGCACUUUGAAAAGAGAGUUAAACAGCACGUGAAAUUGUUGAAAGGGAAGCGCUUGCGACCAGACUCGCCCGCGGGGUUCAGCCGGCAUUCGUGCCGGUGUACUUCCCCGUGGGCGGGCCAGCGUCGGUUUGGGCGGCCGGUCAAAGGCCCCUGGAAUGUAGUACCCUCCGGGGUACCUUAUAGCCAGGGGUGCAAUGCGGCCAGCCUGGACCGAGGAACGCGCUUCGGCACGGACGCUGGCAUAAUGGUCGUAAACGACCCGUCUUAACCUGGGACCCCAAAUGCCAGCGUCCGUGCCUAUCCCUUUCCUCCCUCCAGGCUGG
rnacentral:rRNA from 1 species